GAUGAACGCUAGCGGCAGGCCUAACACAUGCAAGUCGAGGGGGAGGUUACUUUCGGGUAACUGAGACCGGCGUACGGGUGCGUAACGCGUAUACAAUCUGCCUUUCACUGGGGGAUAGCCCGAAGAAAUUUGGAUUAAUACCCCAUAGUAUAGGAGCACGGCAUCGUGAUACUAUUAAAGCUACGGUGGUGAAAGAUGAGUAUGCGUUCUAUUAGCUAGUUGGAGAGGUAACGGCUCCCCAAGGCGAUGAUAGAUAGGGGUUCUGAGAGGGAUGUCCCCCACACUGGUACUGAGAUACGGACCAGACUCCUACGGGAGGCAGCAGUGAGGAAUAUUGGACAAUGGUCGGAAGACUGAUCCAGCCAUGCCGCGUGCAGGAUGAAGGUCUUAUGGAUUGUAAACUGCUUUUGUAAGGGAAGAAUAAGGGCUACGCGUAGUUUGAUGACGGUACCUUAUGAAUAAGCAUCGGCUAACUCCGUGCCAGCAGCCGCGGUAAUACGGAGGAUGCGAGCGUUAUCCGGAAUCAUUGGGUUUAAAGGGUCCGUAGGCGGGCUGAUAAGUCAGAGGUGAAAGCGCUUAGCUCAACUAAGCAACUGCCUUUGAAACUGUCAGUCUUGAAUGAUUGUGAGGUAGUUGGAAUGUGUAGUGUAGCGGUGAAAUGCUUAGAUAUUACACAGAACACCGAUAGCGAAGGCAUAUUACUAACAAUUUAUUGACGCUGAUGGACGAAAGCGUGGGGAGCGAACAGG
rnacentral:rRNA from 1 species